UACGGAGGGUGCAAGCGUUAAUCGGAAUUACUGGGCGUAAAGCGUGCGCAGGCGGUUUGUUAAGUCUGUUGUGAAAUCCCCGGGCUCAACCCGGGAACUGCGUCCGAUACUGGCAGGCUUGAAUCCGGGAGAGGGAUGCGGAAUUCCAGGUGUAGCGGUGAAAUGCGUAGAUAUCUGGAGGAACACCGGUGGCGAAGGCGGCAUCCUGGACCGGCAUUGACGCUGAGGCGCGAAAGCCAGGGGAGCAAACGGG
rnacentral:rRNA from 1 species